rnacentral:misc_RNA from 1 species
CAAUGGCCUCGUAGCAUCACUGGCCACACCGGCCACCACAGAGGCUACGCAGCUCCGCGACACUCGCUUAGAGAUCCCGAAUUGCUUCCACUCCCACUUCCUCCAAAAACAAAAUAGAAGAAAACAGCCCUGCAUCACAUCACUGUGCAUCUUCGAAACAUCAAAAGACGCCACGGCUCAUUACUCCGGCAAAGGUUCCAUCUACUUUUCGCUACGCAACCUUUCCGGAAGAGUCCCGCUUCCUUCAGCUUUCUUUCCUUCUCGCUCUCUGCAUCUUCUGCGGCAUCGGGGGCGCCACUCGCAUGAUGCACCGAAGACGAGUGUGCGUCAUCCCGGCUUCUUCUACCGCGUGGUAGAGGCGCAGAAGUGACCUGCUUCAUCAAGUCACAGCCGUUCUUUGUGCAGGCCCUGCGACGCAUCCUCGAACUUCUCCCCGGGACGCUCCCUUGCUCACUGCGAAGAAAGAAAGUCACGAGGAGCAGAUAGAAAAAGAGCAGCAUACACGCUUCCUCAAGAGCGAAACCGCUACUGCCGAGGAGGCACGUGAGGCUGCUGAGGUUCGGAACACCUUACGCACAGCAAUCCUUCGGAAGGCUUCAUUCCACUCUGCCGCACACCGAAACCGCACGGCUCACGACCCAACUUCUUUUUUCUAGGGUACAUAUACCGCAG